GACGAACGCUGGCGGCGUGCUUAACACAUGCAAGUCGAACGGAAAGGCCCUGCUUUUGCGGGGUGCUCGUGUGGCGAACGGGUGAGUAACACGCGAGUAACCCGCCCUUGACUUUGGGAUAACUCCAGGAAACUGGGGCUAAUACCGGAUAGGAGCUCUUGCUGCACGGUGUGCGUUGGUAAGUUUCGGUCGUUGGGGAUGGACUCGCGGGUUAUCCGCUUCUUGGUGGGGUAGUGGCUUACCAAGGCUUUGACGGGUAGCCGGCAUGAGAGGGUGACCAGCGACAUUGGGACUGAGAGACGGACCAGACUCCAACGGGAGGCAGCAGGGGGGAAUAUUGCGGAAUGGGCGGAAGCCUGAGGCAGCAGCGCCGCGUGCGGGAUGACGGCCUUUGGGGGGUGAACCACUUUCGCAUGUGACGAAGCGUGAGUGACGGUAAUGGGUAAAGAAGCACCGGCUAACUACGUG
rnacentral:rRNA from 1 species